GCUGACAUUCUCUCUGUAUUACACCCUGGGUGGUAGGCUGACAUUCUCUCUGUAUUACACCCUGAGUGAUAGACUGACAUUCUCUCUGUAUUACACCCUGGGUGGUAGGCUGACAUUCUCUCUGUAUUACACCCUGGGUGGUAGGCUGAUAUUCUCUCUGUAUUACACCCUGGGUGAUAGACUGAUAUUCUCUCUGUAUUACACCCUGGGUGGUAGGCUGACAUUCUCUCUGUAUUACACUCUGGGUGGUAGGCUGAUAUUCUCUCUGUAUUACACUCUGGGUGGUAGGC